UUCGCCUGUUUUAUCAAAAACAUGGCUGUGUGAAUAAACUACGGAGUCUGGCCUGCCCACUGAAAAAAUUAAAUGGCCGCGGUAAUUUGACCGUGCGAAGGUAGCAUAAUCAAUAGUCUCUUAAUUGGAGGCUGGAAUGAAUGGUCGGACAAGAAGCAGAUUGUCUCGCAUAUAAAUCUUUAAUUUUACAUUUAAGUGAAAAGGCUUAAAUGGGUUGAGGGGACGAUAAGACCCUAUAAAACUUUAUAGGAGGUCUUCAUUUUUUUGAAUGAGAUGUUUAAAAAUUAUUUGGGGUCUAUCUAUUUUGUUGGGGCGACAAUAAUAUAAUCUUGUGUUUAUAACUGUUUAAAAUAAAAAAUAAUGUUAAUUAGACUUUGAUCCUGUGGUAUAGAUUAAAAGAUUAAGUUACUUUAGGGAUAACAGCGUAAUUUUUCUUGAGAGUUCUUAUCGACAGAAUUAGUUGCGACCUCGAUGUUGAAUUAAAAUUUCCUUUUUGUGUAGCCGCAGAGUGGGUGGGUCUGUUCGACCUUUAAAUUUUACAUGAUUUGAGUUCAAACCGGUGUGAGCCAGGUGGGUUUCUAUCUAA
rnacentral:rRNA from 1 species